rnacentral:rRNA from 1 species
CCCGUCGCUUCAUCGAAGUUGGUUCUUGGCGAGGUAGUGUCUAAUUGGCACUAUCGAACCUGGGGUCAGCAACGAGGGAGUA